AUUUCACCUGUUGUUGGUAAUAGAUUAUGUUCUGCUCAUUAAUAAACAAUUUGAACUUACGCAAUUUGCUUAUGUUCAGCUCGAAUAAGCUCAAAAAUAAAUAAAAAAACAUUAAAGAAUAGUAAUUUUGUUAGGAUGUUGUUAGAUUUGUAAUUGAUUUUUAGUUGGAUUAGAAUUAAUAUUUAAAUCUGAUGGAGAUAAAUUAAGAUUUAAAUAUUAGUUAGAGUAGAAAUUUAAUUAGACUAAUUAACUAGGAUUUGAGUAGCUGUUUUUUUUUUUUUUUGAGAGAUAGGUAGCACGCUACCCGCUUCGUUUAUUUCAUUUAGAAAUAAACUUAGCUAGAAAUGUGAAUCAACUAGGAUUCGAACUUGGGUCUCGAGCUGUUGAUGUAAAC
rnacentral:lncRNA from 1 species